CACGUAGUUAGCCGGCGCUUAUUCUUCAGGUACCGUCAUUAGAUCUCUGUAUUAGAAAAAUCCGUUUCUUCCCUGACAAAAGAGCUUUACAACCCGAAGGCCUUCUUCACUCACGCGGCAUUGCUGGAUCAGGCUUGCGCCCAUUGCCCAAAAUUCCCCACUGCUGCCUCCCGUAGGAGUCUGGACCGUGUCUCAGUUCCAGUGUGGCUGGUCGUCCUCUCAGACCAGCUACUGAUCGAUGCCUUGGUAGGCUUUUACCCUACCAACUAGCUAAUCAGAUAUCGGCCGCUCCAGGAGCAUGAGGUUCUUGCGAAUCCCCCCACUUUCAUCCUUAGAUCGUAUGCGGUAUUAGCGUAACUUUCGCUACGUUACUCCCCACCUCCAGGGUACGUUCCGAUAUAUUACUCACCCGUUCCGCCACCUCGCCGCCACGGUUGCCCGCCGCUCGCCGUUCGUACUUGCAUGUGUAAGGCGAUGCCGCCCGAGCGUUCUAACUCUGAGACCGACGGAGUA
rnacentral:rRNA from 1 species